AUGAGGUGAGAGCUUCCAUGUGGCAUCCUCCUUGCUAUGAUCUUCUGCCCGAGUAUUGACCUAAAAGAUAACAGACCAAGUGACCAGGACCCAAAACUGCCAAAGCCGACUUGAAGAAUUACCAUUACCCACCCAGCUGCUGGACUGACUCCAGGUUGGGCCGUCAAUGGCUAUGAAUCCAGUCCUAUCGGCUGGAGCCCUGCACAACUGGAACUCAGUGAGCUCAGUGGGAUGUCAGUGUCCUCCGAGGAAGAUCCAGUACCACAAAAGUCUGCGAAAGGCAACUCCAGUUCUGAGAAAGCAGCCCGUGUGUCGUCACCCUUAAGUGCUUAAUAAUUUUCUCCAUACUCCAAUAUAAAACCCGAAUGGAGGCCAAUGUGUUUUAUGUACAAUUGUAAUACUUAUGGAGUAAC